rnacentral:rRNA from 1 species
GUGUCAGCCGCCGCGGUAAUACCGGCAGUCCGAGUGAUGGCCGAUCUUAUUGGGCCUAAAGCGUCCGUAGCCGGCUGAACAAGUCCGUUGGGCAAUCUGUCCGCUUAACGGGCAGGCGUCCAGCGGAAACUGUUCAGCUUGGGACCGGAAGACCUGAGGGGUACGUCUGGGGUAGGAGUGAAAUCCUGUAAUCCUGGACGGACCGCCGGUGGCGAAAGCGCCUCAGGAGAACGGAUCCGACGGUGAGGGACGAAAGCUCGGGUCACGAACCGGAUUAGAUACC